rnacentral:rRNA from 1 species
UACGAAGGGGGCUAGCGUUGUUCGGAAUCACUGGGCGUAAAGGGCGCGUAGGCGGCUUUAUAAGUCGGGGGUGAAAGCCUGUGGCUCAACCACAGAAUUGCCUUCGAUACUGUAGAGCUUGAGACCGGAAGAGGUAAGUGGAACUGCGAGUGUAGAGGUGAAAUUCGUAGAUAUUCGCAAGAACACCAGUGGCGAAGUCGGCUUACUGGUCCGGUUCUGACGCUGAUGCGCGAAAGCGUGGGUAGCAAACAGG